GAGGAUAGCAGCUACAGGCCAGGGCGAGAGGCCUCAGAGGAAACCAGCCCUGCUGACUCUUUGAACUCGGACUUCCAGCCUCCAGAACUCAUUUAGAGGCCACCAACAUUGAAUAACCAUACUGGGGUAGACACAGUGGGGAAGAGAUUCCUGCUGUUCCCAUCACAGCAGCCUUGGAGAUGAGGAGACAGAUGGAUCUGACCAGAAGUCUGGAGAACUUCGAGAAAAAAGGAGGAGGACACAAAAGGAAAGAACAAAAAAGAUGCAUCCGGAGCAACUAUGAGGAUGGUAAAUUGGUGUCUAAUUCUGAAAAUCAUAAUUGGUAUGAAUGCUAUGCACUGUGGAAGGAGGGAUGAAGGGUAGAGGGAAUAAAAAAGAACGUGAAGUUAGAAUCCUUGGCAUGAAAGCCUGCCGUUU
rnacentral:lncRNA from 1 species